CAGGGGGUCUGAUGGGUUGGGGGACUCAGCAGGGAAUCUGAUUGGCGGACUCCUCCUUUUUGCCUCAGGACUUGGCCAAUGCAGGGAUUGGCUGCGGUGGGGUCAGCUGAUCACGGUCUGUCCAAUCAGCUGUGUUGAGGCAGGGGAGCUGGGACCGGAAGUGCCGGCAGGUGUCAUGGCGGUCGGGGAAGAGGAAGUUAUGGAAGGUUCGAGCCUCUCCCCGUAGUCAUAUGGGCAAUGGAUGUUUUCUCCUUUUACUUGGAAUGUAACUUCAGCUUCCUAGGUUGUCCAGCCAAGUCACUCCAAUGAUGAAAUUUUUUCUUUUUGAGACUUUAUGUAUUUAUUCAUGAGAGACACAGAGAGAGGCAGGGACCCAGGCAGAGGGAGAAGCAGGCUCCAUGCAGGGAGCCCGACGUGGGACUCGAUCCCGGGACCCCAGGAUCGCGCCCUGGGCCAAAGGCAGGCGCUAAACCACUGAGCCCCCCAGGGAUCCCCCAAUGCGGAAGUUCUAAAGCCACCUGGGCCUCUACCAGUUAAGACCUGGCCAUCUAGGACCUGGACCUUCAGCCAAGCUGGGACAGAAACUUCCUGUAUAUAUCGAAGCCCAUGUGAUUGGCAGGGUUUGUACCCCAAGGCAUCUGUGCAGGGGAGAAAAACAAUCUUUUUAAUUUAAAAGCUUGGAAAAAAAAAACAGCAAAGCACCACAAAAGAGAGAGAGAGAGAGAGAGAGAGAGAGAGAGAGAGAGAGAGAGAAAGAGGAAAAAAAAAAUAGAAAGAAAGAAAGAAAGAAGAAAAGGCCCCAGGGAAUCCCGCGAGGGAGAGAUAAUCACUCCCUGCCUUCUCAGACUGUUCCUUCUGUGUGCGUGUGCAUUUAGAGGGAAAGAUUUCUUCCCCAUAAUAAGAGGAUUGUCCUACAUAUGCUGCUUUUUAUAACCUGCUUUUUCCCCCACCUUAUCACUGAACAUUUUUCCGUGUCAUUAAAUAUGCUCGUCCGGCCUCAUUUUAGUGUCAGCCCGGCCUUCAGACCCGGGCCUCGGGCCCUGCCAGCUGCCUUCCCAACGUCGCCCCUCCCCUCCAGGACCCUCAGCUGUGAAAGGCGCCGCCGCCGCAGGGGAUCCGACGAGCUCCCCCUUCGCCCCCCGCAGCAACCCACCGAGGCCCACGCCCCGGCUGCCACGUGGGGCCUGGGCAGCCCCCCCACCCCCACCCAGGCCCUCCGGGAAAGCACCAGGCCGCUCUCGGCAACUUCCUCGUUCCCCACGUGCUCUCUGCAAAGCCAGCUCAGGACGUGGGGAGCUCAAAUGUCAGACAGUGGGAGCUGGAAGCCCCCGAGGGAGCCCGAGGAGCCAGGCCCAGGCGAGGGGAAGGGACGUGCCCACACCAGCCAGGGAGUGGGUGGCAAGACAAGAGAAGUGAGGCGACGACUGGCCCCGGGGAAAGGACAGAUGGGCAUCCUCUCCGGUGGAAAGCUCGGGCGGGGAUCCUUCCCGAUUUCCCCGAUCGGAUGCCAAGCUCCAGGCCCACCCGUCCUCCACCCAGGCGUCCGUCCCUGCGGCAGGAGCCCCUUGCUGAGUCUCACACCCAGGCUCCGGGCCCAGAAACUGGAACGCUUCCUCUGCAAUCCUUGUAAGUGUAUCCAGGCCGCCGUGAUUCCACUCGGCCAAAGACCAUAUCCGUUUCCACCACAGCGAGCCGAAAGGUAG
rnacentral:lncRNA from 12 species